CACACUGCUUCUCUUUAUUUCCGGGGGGAGGUACUACCGUGUGGGCUUGUGCCACUUCAGAUCUUGUUGUCAGGUGUGCAGGCAUGAACCAAACUGUAACUGCUCUGAGACAUCCUGAGGGCUGCUUGUUCAUUUGGGAACAGCAUUUCUACAUCCUGUAAUAUUCACCAAUCAGUUUAAAAAUAGAUAAAUAAAUAUAAGCCAAUAAGUAAUUUGGAGAAGGUAUUUUCUUCCGAGAGCUGAUGCAACCAUGCCAGAGCCUUGCACGAGGAAAUGAGCUUACAUAGAACCUGGAUACUCUACUCUUGGGCUUUCUCUCUCAGGAAUAACAUUACUUGCAGCAGAAACUGAGAUACUUUGAAUGUUGUAUCCUGUCUCCUUUAACAACGGUGUAGGAACACAGAUUUACUCUGGAUUUUAAGGUCAGAAUGUUUUCAGCAUCUUAAAAACAUGCAGCCUCCCAUAGCUCAUAAAACUCUUACUUCUGAAGUUAGUAUUCCUGGACUGGAGCAGAGGUCUCUGCACUGUGUGUCUCAGCCACUGGAGCCAGCCUUAGCCUACUGAUUCAUUUCAACCUUUUGGUACUUUUAUGUCAUCUCAGUUUGAAAGGAAGCAUUUCAUCUGCAUAAUUCCAUUUUAAUUUGGAGGUGUGUUGUCAUGGGUUCUUUGUAGCUUGGCUGGAUAAGUAGGGAUCUGAAUAGGAUUCUUUCUUCGUUCAACUCAGUGAGAGUGGAUGUCUUUGUGUGACCUCUUACAGAAGAUGGAUGUGAUGGAGAUGUGGAUUCAUAUAGGAUUUUGAGUCUUCAUAAGAAGUCAAAUCUUGUUACCAUAAUGCCACUAAUCUUUUUGUUUUAUUCACACAAUAUAGAACUUUUGCAACAUUCUAUUUAAAGUGAUGCCAAAUUUACUGUUUCCUCUUUCCUCAUUUGCUUGCUAUCUUGGAAAAUUCAUUAUGUUAAGAUAACUUUUCUACAAUUUCUCCUUAUACAAUCACUUUGUUGUUCCUUUCACUUCAGUUUUUUUUUCUUUUUUUGUUUUGUUUUGUUUUUGUUUUUUUUAUUUGCUUAUGCUUGUUCUCUCAGAGAUGUUCAGAACUAUGGUGUUGUAUGAUAUUUUGGAAUAUCACAAAGUUUGUCCCAGGUGAGUCCCAUGAAUGCUCACACAGGAACAGACAGAACAUCAUGUUCAAGUUUGCCAGGACCUAUUGAACCAAUACAAGGCUGAAUGUGGCAGUUUCCUGGAUCGUGUCAUUAAUGGAGAUGAGAUGUGCUGUCACCACUACAAGCUGGAGUCAAAACAGUAGUCCAUGGAGUGGUGACAUGAAUUCUUCAUUGAAGGAAAAGUUCAAGAGGCAGCUUUUAGGGUAAAGUGAUGUGCCAUGUCUAUUGGGAUAGGAAAGGGGUGAUCCUCCUGGAUCUCCUGGAACCUGGACAAACCAUCAACUCUGACAGCUAUCAGCUUUCUGUAGUCAAACAUAGACCACGAUUACCAAAGUAAUUCAAAAUUAAUUCCCUAAAAUUUCCAAGCAGCCAAUUAGUAAGUCUAAAAAAACCAUGUGAACUUUGCAGUGAAAUGAACAUUUACAUAGCAACUGUGCUGUUAAAAAACUUUUGCUGAAAUAAGUUUUUAUAAAUGAUUUACUGAACAAUAUGAAUAAUACAAGCUAUCUUGAUAUUAAAAUCUCUUUGUGAAUAGUUAGUUUGAGGGAAAAGAGUAAAAUUCAAUGAAUAAAUUGUUCAGUCACUCCCAGUUCCAUAAUGAAUUUUGGCUUUCAGUUUAUUUGCAGAAUGCACCUAGUUCUCUUUCAAGUUUUACCUUGACAAUAGAAUAAUAAAAUAACAAGUAACAAGGAAGUAAUAAAAUAUACAGCUUCUGUAUAAUAUUAGUAUGUCAUGUAGAUUCUCAAAAGUCACCUGCUUUCUAAGGGAAGCAUCUCUAACACUUCUUGGCUGCUAAUGUAAAUUUGCAUCCUUGCGUUGCAGCUCUUGGAGGUUUGCAUAAAGGAACAUUUGCAUGGAUCUUAGAAUAGCUGAGGCUUUGGCUAUUGUCCAAAUUGCCAUUUUAAUACAAGUCUAUUACUCUCUGAAGAGCAGUAGUUUGAAAAAUGGCUUCUAAAACCCGAUCCCUGAUAUAGCCAGUUUGAUUUUUCAGUCACUCACUGAAGUCAAUGGGCCUACUAAUCAACUUUGAAAUAAAACAUGCUUUCAAGUUCUUAAGUACCUAAAUGAGAAUUUCAAAUUCUAUCUCCUUUGAUUAUUGCCAUUGUGAAAAAUCUGAC
ensembl:lncRNA